rnacentral:rRNA from 1 species
UGGAGGCAGCAGUGAGGAAUUUUGCGCAAUGGGGGAAACCCUGACGCAGCAACGCCGCGUGAGUGAUGAAGGCCUUCGGGUCGUAAAGCUCUGUCAGAGGGAAAGAAGUGUAAGGUGGUUAAUACCCAUUUUACUUGACGGUACCUUCAAAGGAAGCACCGGCUAACUCCGUGCCAGCAGCCGCGGUAAUACGGAGGGUGCGAGCGUUGUUCGGAUUUAUUGGGCGUAAAGCGCGUGUAGGCGGUUUUUUAAGUCUGAUGUGAAAGCCCCGGGCUCAACCUGGGAAGUGCAUUGGAAACUGGGAGACUUGAAUACGGGAGAGGGCAGUGGAAUUCCUAGUGUAGGAGUGAAAUCCGUAGAUAUUAGGAGGAACACCGGUGGCGAAGGCGGCUGCCUGGACCGAUAUUGACGCUGAGACGCGAAAGCGUGGGUAGCAAACAGGCUUAGAUACCCCGGUAGG